UCUUAACCAAUGUUUUUCUACAGUUUUCUUUAUUAAACACCAUUGCCGUAAUACCACCAUCAUUGUUUUCUCGAGUGAGUAUUGCUUGGUUGUCAUCAACCGUAGUGCUCUUAUAUGCAUAACAAAUUUUUUAAAUGCUUCCACAUGCUAGAAGUUCCACUAUUAGUAUCAGUCUUAAAUGUUCUCCCACAAUAAUUACAUUUUGCUCUUUCUCCAUCAAGUAUCCUAGUGAAAUGAUUCCAUAUUUCCGACCUCUCAUUAGGCUAUUUUUUGUCUCCCAUUUG
rnacentral:lncRNA from 1 species